GCUUACGGCCACACCGCCUGGUUCACGCCCGAUCUCGCUUUGAUCUCGGAAGCUAUGAUAGGGUGGGCCUGGUUAGUACUUCGAUGGGAGACCGCCUGGGAAUACCAGGUGCUGUAAGAU
rnacentral:rRNA from 1 species